UNUGACUUGAGUGCAGAAGGGGAGAGUGGAAUUCCAUGUGUAGCGGUGAAAUGCGUAGAUAUAUGGAGGANCACCAGUGGCGAAAGCGGCUCUCUGGUCUGUCACUGACGCUGAGGCUCGAAAGCGUGGGUAGCGAACAGGAUUAGAUACCCUGGUAGUNCACGCCGUAAACGAUGAGUGCUAGGUGUUAGGCCCUUUCCGGGGCUUAGUGCCGGAGCUAACGCAAUAAGCACUCCGCCUGGGGAGUACGACCGCAAGGUUGAAACUCAAAGGAAUUGACGGGGGCCCGCACAAGCGGUGGAGCAUGUGGUUUAAUUCGAAGCAACGCGAAGAACCUUGCCAGGUCUUGACAUCCCGAUGCUAUUCUUAGAGAUAGGAAGUUACUUCGGUACAUCGGAGACAGGUGGUGCAUGGUUGUCGUCAGCUCGUGUCGUGAGAUGUUGGGUUAAGUCCCGCAACGAGCGCAACCCUUAUUGUUAGUUGCCAUCAUUAAGUUGGGCACUCUAGCGAGACUGCCGGUAAUAAACCGGAGGAAGGUGGGGAUGACGUCAAAUCAUCAUGCCCCUUAUGACCUGGGCUACACACGUGCUACAAUGGUCGGUACAACGAGUUGCGAGCCGGUGACGGCAAGCUAAUCUCUGAAAGCCGAUCUCAGUUCGGAUUGGAGGCUGCAACUCGCCUCCAUGAAGUCGGAAUCGUUAGUAAUCGCGGAUCAGCACGCCGCGGUGAAUACGUUCCCGGGCCUUGUACACACCGCCCGUCACACCACGAGAGUUUGUAACACCCGAUGUCGGUGAGGUANCCUUUUAGGG
rnacentral:rRNA from 1 species